ensembl:lncRNA
AAACGACAAUUUACAUGAUAAAAAAAACAUAAAAACACAUAAUCAACCACAUACACACAAAUAUAAUAAUAAACUUUUAUAUUUAAACGAAAAUUUUAUAAAAUUAAAAGAUUCUAUUAUUGGCAUGGAAUCUAGUAUUAAUCGUAAUAUUAAUAGCAGUUAUAAUAAUCACAAUAAAUAUAGUUUUUCGAAUUUUGUUGAUGAGGAAAAGCCAUAUUUUAAGAACAUACGAAAACAAUGCAAAAAAAUUGUAAAUUGUUUGAAUUGUAAUUAUGAUAUGUUGGAUAUAAAAGAAGUGGUUGACACAUUGGAUACAAUUACUAAUCCAAAUUAUGACGAAAGAUUUGAUAAAAAUGAAUAUUUAAAAUUAUUCAUUGAUAAAUAUCAUUAUGUUUAUCCUUACGAAAAUAUAAAAGGAUUAAGACAAAUUCGAAAAUUCGUUGAAAAUAAUUAUAAAAUAAAAAAAAAUUUUUAUAUAAAUGAAGAGGAUAUAUCAUAUAUGUAUUUAAAAACAGACUUAGAAAAAAUAAUUAAAAAUGACCAUUUUGUGAAUAAUAUGUUAAAUCUUAAUAUAAACAAUGGUAAGUUUUGGAUCCAGUUAGUUCAUAAUAUAUGGAUCCCACUCAUACUACAUAUAUUUAAUUCAACACAAAAUUCAUUUUAUUCUUAUUUUAUAAACUAUAGUAGCGAUUUCACUGUACUUGAUCAGUAUGUUUAUUCAAAAAGGGAUACAAAUUUUUACAAGUUUUCGCACCACAUAUUUACAGGCAUCCUGUUCAGCGGAGUACCCAGCAUUUACAGACUACUCAUGCGACUACACGCAUAUAAAUACAUAGAAACAAGAAUCAACAUGAUACUAGAAAAAAAUCACAAAAAUAUUUAUAACGAGGGUGUUAUAUCUAGUUUAAAUUAUAACAUGGAUAUUAUACGAACCUUAUUUCCUUUUUUUAAAGAAUUUGUUAAUAUAAAUAUGGAACAUAUCGUUGAAAAAUUUUUUGAGUCUCGUUUUUUUAAUAUAGUAAUUUCUUCAUUAAAAAAAAAGAAUAUUAAGAAAGUUAUAAUAAACACAAAAUAUAUUACUUUUGUAAACUCUUUUUUUUUAAUGAUAACUGAGUUUUUAUAUGGAGUAAUACAUAAAAAAAUUAUAGAAAAAAUAAAUGAAAAUAAAAUAAAAAUAAUAGAAAAAUUAAAUUAUAUUUUUUAUGAUAAUAUGAAUAUGUACAUAGCUAGAGACAUUUUAUUAUUUAUAGCUGAUUUAUUAUGUUUAUAUAAAUUAAAUUCAAUUUAUAUAAAAAAAAAAUAUUGUAAUAUUAUUUUAAAUAUAACCAAUAUUAUAAAAAAUUAUUAUUAUAAAUAUAAAAGUUCUAUAACAUAUACAGAUGAUUGUAAUGUUUAUUGUAAUAAUAUGUGUAAUCCAAAUUAUAAUUAUAAUCAAGAUGCAAUAAAACAGGUAUAUGUCAUAGCGAUAAAAAUCAAUCAUUUUAUUAAAAGCGCUUUACAAAGAAAACAAACAGUAAAUGAAAAUAUGAUAUUACAAGAACUAACUAUAAUUAAUAGAUAUUAUAUGAAUGACUUAAAAAAACAAGAAAAUAACAUAGGCGAUUUUUUUUUUCUUAAAAAUAUUAACUAUGGUAUUUAUUGUUGGAACCCUGUUUGUAACAAAUAUGUAAAUGCACAUAACUAUGAUUAUAAUAAAAAUACUUUUCAAUAUUGUCAAGGUUGUUAUAUUGCUACAUACUGUUCAGAAAAAUGUAAACUUAUUCAUUUGUUAGCGUCUCAUUAUAAUAUAUGCGUCUAUUUUAAAACUAUUCCUUCUUUUCUAAAAUUUAAUACGACCAAUGUUGAUUAUGGUUUUACUAAAAUGAAGUACUUGAACAUAUUUGAGCAUAUCGAUACAUAUGACAGGCAAAAUGAAAAAUAUCAGAUUAUUUAUUGAGCUACUUCAGGGUCCGACAACUUUACUUUGUCAGCCAAGCCAAUUUUUUUUUUUUUUUUUUUUUUUUUUUUUUGUAUACACUCAGCUGGUUUAUUUUUUUUUUGUAUCUAUUCAGUUGGUAUUUUUUUUUUGGUAUCCAUUAAGUUGGUUUAUUUUUUUUGUAUCUAUUUAGUUGGUUUAUUUUUUUUUGUAUCAAUUCAGCAAGUUAUGCUUCAUUUUUUACAUUAUUAUUUAUUAUCUGUUUUAAUUAUUUUAUUUGUUUUUAUUAUUUUAUUUGUUUUUA